rnacentral:rRNA from 1 species
GAUGAACGCUAGCGAUAGGCUUAACACAUGCAAGUCGAGGGGCAGCACAUGAGUGGCAACACGAUGGUGGCGACCGGCGCACGGGUGAGUAACACGUAUGCAACCUGCCCAUAACUGGGGGAUAACCCGUCGAAAGGCGGACUAAUACCGCAUGACAACGAUGAUCCGCAUGGUGAUUCGUUUAAAGAUUUAUCGGUUAUGGAUGGGCAUGCGUUCCAUUAGGUAGUUGGCAGGGUAACGGCCUACCAAGCCUACGAUGGAUAGGGGUUCUGAGAGGAAGGUCCCCCACACUGGUACUGAGACACGGACCAGACUCCUACGGGAGGCAGCAGUGAGGAAUAUUGGUCAAUGGGCGAGAGCCUGAACCAGCCAAAUCGCGUGAAGGAUGAAGGUAUUAUGUAUUGUAAACUUCUUUUGUCGGGGAAUAAAGUGCAGCACGUGUGCUGUUUUGUAUGUACCCGAAGAAUAAGGAUCGGCUAACUCCGUGCCAGCAGCCGCAGUAACAC